CUUCGGAGCUUGCCGGAGAUCAAUCAAGGAGGCACGAAUCAUCUUGAUUUCCUCUGCUCAACCCUUCCCCGAUCUUUCUUCUCGAUUUUCCCGACCCUCUCCUCCCCCGAUCUGAUCGCCAGCUUGAAGAUGCCCUAGGGUUUCAAAGUUCUGGACUAGGAGGAAAGCAUCGGAUUAGUGGACCUCCCUGUUGUUGAUCGAGGUCCCGGUUAGAGUUGUUUCCCGCAGGUGAUGAGGUUGUGUACUGUUGGUGUUCUUGAUCUCACCUUGAACCCAAUUGAAUAGGGAAGGAUUUAAGGAGGAUUAUGUUCUGUGGAAACCAGUGAGGAUAUGAGAAGGUGAUCUUGGUUCCGAUAGGAAUAACCAUUGGAUCCAACAUCAAUAGCAGCUGGGACUUGAGGUAAGG